GAAGUAAAAAAUGUAACAAGGUUUCCGUAGGUGAACCUGCGGAAGGAUCAUUACCGAGUGCGGGUCCUUUGGGCCCAACCUCCCAUCCGUGUCUAUUGUACCCUGUUGCUUCGGCGGGCCCGCCGCUUGUCGGCCGCCGGGGGGGCGCCUCUGCCCCCCGGGCCCGUGCCCGCCGGAGACCCCAACACGAACACUGUCUGAAAGCGUGCAGUCUGAGUUGAUUGAAUGCAAUCAGUUAAAACUUUCAACAAUGGAUCUCUUGGUUCCGGCAUCGAUGAAGAACGCAGCGAAAUGCGAUAACUAAUGUGAAUUGCAGAAUUCAGUGAAUCAUCGAGUCUUUGAACGCACAUUGCGCCCCCUGGUAUUCCGGGGGGCAUGCCUGUCCGAGCGUCAUUGCUGCCCUCAAGCCCGGCUUGUGUGUUGGGUCGCCGUCCCCCUCUCCGGGGGGACGGGCCCGAAAGGCAGCGGCGGCACCGCGUCCGAUCCUCGAGCGUAUGGGGCUUUGUCACAUGCUCUGUAGGAUUGGCCGGCGCCUGCCGACGUUUUCCAACCAUUCUUUCCAGGUUGACCUCGGAUCAGGUAGGGAUACCCGCUGAAC
rnacentral:rRNA from 1 species